ensembl:lncRNA
CUUCAAAUCGUACAGCACGUGUGUGUGUGUGAGUGUGUGUGACAUUGUGUGAGUGUGUGAGACGCUGAUUUACUCUGUAUGUGUGUGUGUAAAGCGUAACUGAUGGAACUGUUGGACAUAAGAGAGAGAAACUUCUCUGGAUGUGAUAAAUACAGAACUUUUCCAGGACGGAGCUCGUCUUCACACACAUAUCACAGAAGCCUCGGAGAACCCAUCAGCUGGGAAUCAGCAGGAUCCAGAAGUGUAAAGAACCAAGUAAACUGACCACUGAGUGUGGACGAUGUCCUGAGUUUACUGAUCACGAGACAGAAAAGCAGAGAGGUCUGAUAGAGAGACAAAGGGAAAGAAGAGAGAAGGAGAUGAUGGUGAAAAGAGGGGAUUUGAGUAAUCAAUGGCAACCCGUUACCACACACUACAGACAAGAGAAGGAUAAAGA